CARCUUUCAACAACGGAUCUCUUGGCUCUCGCAUCGAUGAAGAACGCAGCGAAAUGCGAUAAGUAAUGUGAAUUGCAGAAUUCAGUGAAUCAUCGAAUCUUUGAACGCACCUUGCGCUCCUUGGUAUUCCGAGGAGCAUGCCUGUUUGAGUGUCAUGA
rnacentral:rRNA from 1 species